GACGAACGCUGGCGGCGUGCUUAACACAUGCCAGUCGAACGGAAAGGCCCUGCUUUUGUGGGGUGCUCGAGUGGCGAACGGGUGAGUAACACGUGAGUAACCUGCCCUUGACUUUGGGAUAACUUCAGGCAACUGGGGCUAAUACCGGAUAGGAGCUCCUGCUGCAUGGUGGGGGUUGGAAAGUUUCGGCGGUUGGGGAUGGACUCGCGGCUUAUCAGCUUGUUGGUGGGGUAGUGGCUUACCAAGGCUUUGACGGGUAGCCGGCCUGAGAGGGUGACCGGCCACAUUGGGACUGAGAUACGGCCCGGACUCCUACGGGAGGCAGCAGUGGGGAAUAUUGCACAAUGGGCGGAAGCCUGAUGCAGCAACGCCGCGUGCGGGAUGGCGGCCUUCGGGUUGUAAACCGCUUUCGCCUGUGACGAAGCGUGAGUGACGGUAAUGGGUAAAGAAGCACCGGCUAACUACGUG
rnacentral:rRNA from 1 species